rnacentral:rRNA from 1 species
UACGAAGGGGGCUAGCGUUGUUCGGAAUUACUGGGCGUAAAGCGCACGUAGGCGGAUACUUAAGUCAGGGGUGAAAUCCCAGAGCUCAACUCUGGAACUGCCUUUGAUACUGGGUAUCUUGAGUAUGGAAGAGGUAAGUGGAAUUGCGAGUGUAGAGGUGAAAUUCGUAGAUAUUCGCAGGAACACCAGUGGCGAAGGCGGCUUACUGGUCCAUAACUGACGCUGAGGUGCGAAAGCGUGGGGAGCAAACAGG